AAGGCACUGGGCUUCAGUAGAUGGCUCAACGGGCAAAUGCUUUCUCCAUGCAAACAUGAAGAUCUGAGUUUAAAUCCCCAGAACCCAAGUAAGGUCAAGAUGUUUUAGCUUAUGUCUGUAGAUUCAGGGUUCCUAGAGCAAGAUGGGAGGUGGAGACGGGAGAAUCCCUGAAAGCUUGUGGACCUGCCAGCAUGGGUCUGCAGCAUCUCAAACAAGGUGAAGAGUAAGGAUUGACAUGAGAGAUUUUCCUAUGACCUCCAAAGCACAAGCGCUUGCGCGCACACGCACACACACUCACACAAGGCUGGGGGUGUGGCUCAGGGGUGGUAGAGCCCCUGCCUAGAAUUCCCCAGUGAGGGGCUGGGGGCGUGGCUCAGUGGUAGAGCCCCUGCCUAGAAUCCCCCCAGUGAGGGGCUGGGGGCGUGGCUCAGUGGUGGUAGGGUCCCUGCCUACAAUCCCCCAGUGAGGGGCUGGGGGCGUGGCUCAGUGGUAGAGCCCCUGCCUAGAAUUCCCCAGGGAGAGGGUGGGGUGUGGCUGAGAGGAGAGUGCUGGCCUAGAUCCAUUAGUGAGGGGCUGGGUGUAUAUACACAUUGCCCCCUGCAAAGCAGAGCUGAAUCACACCCCUCCACCCCAUCAUGCAACACUCAAACCAGUCUGCUUUUCUUCCCUAGCAGCCGGCUGCCUCUUCCCACUCCUGGGUGCCACCCUCCAGCAGGCACAGGUCCUGAGUUCGUGGGGCACAUACUGAUUUUGCAGCAGAGUGAGGAUCUGAAUUCAGGAUAUCUGGACAUGGUUUCUCACCAGGGCACGUCCUUCCCGCCCAGGAGGAAUGGAACCCAGAGCCUCUUGGAAGCACAGUGGUCCCCUAUGUGAGGAGUCCGAGACCAUAGCAAAAGUGCCACCCUGGGGACUUUGCUAGUAAUCGGAUGUUCAGCCUGAUAUGCUGGUGAACUGGGAGUCCAGCCUGAGCUACAAGCCAUCACUGUGAGCCGGUGGCUGUGUUUCUUGAUUCAAAUCUGAUCCCUGCUGAGCACACCUGAGACUUCUGUCCAUCUGUCCAACACGUCAUGUCCCUGCUGUGCAACCCUGAGUGAGUCACUGGGCCUCUCUGUGUCUCUGUUUCUUCAUUGGCAAAAUGGCACAAGGACAGGGUGGACUUCCUAAGGUGGAUGAGAGGAUGGC
rnacentral:lncRNA from 1 species